rnacentral:rRNA from 5 species
CAAACGACUCUCGGCAACGGAUAUCUCGGCUCACGCAUCGAUGAAGAACGUAGCAAAAUGCGAUACUUGGUGUGAAUUGCAGAAUCCCGUGAACCAUCGAGUUUUUGAACGCAAGUUGCGCCCGAAGCCUUUCGGCCGAGGGCACGUCUGCCUGGGCGUCACAU